rnacentral:lncRNA from 14 species
GGAAUUAUGAAUGUUGUCCAGAUGAUGGGUAAUGAGAAAGGACCCAUGGAGACUGGAGCAUGAGAUUUCAGGAUUUUGGAGAAGGCCAAGAAUCUACCUGUGAAUCCCUAAAACAUCAUGGUGCCUCCUACCAUUGCACCUCUGCUGCUUUGUUGCCAAUGAAGCCGUGUUGCUAUUAAUGAGACCUUCCCAACCGUGGCUACCUCCUGAACGCCUCCACACUGGGAAAAUCCCUGCAGAAGGCCAUGCCCCCUCUUUCUCAAUGGAUCUUGAUCUUUGGGAUAAAAAUAAAGAAUGGUGUAACACAGAUUGCCAACAUCUUUAUUCUCAUGUGAAUUGAUUGUGGAGGAUGUGUGUGGGCACAUGUUCUAGUUUUGAUUUACUAAUCACAUUAAAAAUCAUACUGCAGCUUUGUUGAAACUUGUCUUGCAAGAUACUAAAAGCUGCUGUUGACUUACUAAUAAUAAUGAAAAAGAAAGAUCUGGCUAAGUAUUAACCUCAUGCUAACCUGAGUAAGACAUUCCCUGAACUGAGAACUGAAAGUCUUGAGUUUUGUGGUGCCA